GAUGAACGCUGGCGGCGUGCCUAAUACAUGCAAGUCGAGCGAACAGACGAGGAGCUUGCUCCCCUGACGUUAGCGGCGGACGGGUGAGUAACACGUGGAUAACCUACCUAUAAGACUGGGAUAACUUCGGGAAACCGGAGCUAAUACCGGAUAACAUGUUGAACCGCAUGGUUCAACAGUGAAAGACGGUCUUGCUGUCACUUAUAGAUGGAUCCGCGCCGCAUUAGCUAGUUGGUAAGGUAACGGCUUACCAAGGCAACGAUGCGUAGCCGACCUGAGAGGGUGAUCGGCCACACUGGAACUGAGACACGGUCCAGACUCCUACGGGAGGCAGCAGUAGGGAAUCUUCCGCAAUGGGCGAAAGCCUGACGGAGCAACGCCGCGUGAGUGAAGAAGGUCUUCGGAUCGUAAAACUCUGUUAUUAGGGAAGAACAAAUGUGUAAGUAACUAUGCACGUCUUGACGGUACCUAAUCAGAAAGCCACGGCUAACUACGUG
rnacentral:rRNA from 1 species